UACCAGCACCCCGAGUGGUCGGGACGAUUAUUGGGCCUAAAGCAUCCGUAGCCGGUUCUACAAGUCUUCCGUUAAAUCCACCUGCUUAACAGAUGGGCUGCGGAGGAUACUAUAGAGCUAGGAGGCGGAGAGGCAAGCGGUACUUAGUGGGUAGGGGUAAAAUCCGUUGAUCCAUUGAAGACCACCAGUGGCGAAGGCGGCUUGCCAGAACGCACUCGACGGUGAGGGAUGAAAGCUGGGGGAGCAAACCGG
rnacentral:rRNA from 1 species